rnacentral:rRNA from 1 species
UACGGAGGGUGCGAGCGUUGUCCGGAAUCACUGGGCGUAAAGGGCGCGUAGGCGGCCUGAUAAGUAGGGGGUGAAAUCCUGCGGCUUAACCGCAGGGCUGCCUUCUAAACUGUCAGGCUCGAGCACAGUAGAGGCAGGUGGAAUUCCCGGUGUAGCGGUGGAAUGCGUAGAUAUCGGGAGGAACACCUAUGGCGAAGGCAGCUCGCUGGGACGUUACUGACGCUGAGACGCGAAAGCGUGGGGAGCAAACAGG